rnacentral:lncRNA from 1 species
CCAUUAAGUCAAAAAGAGGCUGUGCACAUCAUAGCAGCUCAUAAUUAAAACUAGGUCUUCAGAUUUUAAUAUCUAUUUAAAUUUAAUAUAAUUUAGAUAAUAUAUAAUUAACUUUAAUAUCUUGUAUAUUUGUAUAUACUGCCUAGAUUAGUUCUUUGGGUUCUUGAUGAGUUCUAGAUGUCCCUAUAGCUAUUGGAGAUAUUCUCACACUGGAAGCCUAUCGAGUUGAGGAGGAAGCUCUUUGCCGCAGAAACGGUCACCCUGGCUUGCCAGAGCUUGGCUGUCAGCACAAAGCAAACCUAAGUAGCCAUACCUGCUACCUAGCCUCCUGCCGCAGAAAAAAAAGCAGGAUGUGGAAGUUUUACAGCCUCCAGAAAGGAAGCCUCUCCAAAGGUCAGUUCAGAUGCGGUCACAGAGUCUCCCGGGUAAGGAGGAGCCUCCAAGAGAACAAAGCCAGGGGUCAUGGACACGAGAGAGGAGCCAGAGGCCAACCUGGAAAAUUGCAGUUAUAGCCGUCCUGUUCCUACUCUGCCUCUGGGUGGUGCGCACCUCUGUGCCUGUGUGUGGCUGUCGUUGGACACACGGGGUAACUCACCUGGCACUUCCUGGGUCACUUGUGCACCGAUGGCCGCAUCUGGACUUGUUGGGGAGGACUUGGAAUCGCUCAGAGGCCCUGGCCUUGAACAGGUGCAGUCUCCAAUGAGACUUGGAGGUCUUCCCUCGUAGAUAAGCCACGAAUUACUCUGGGGAAAAGGGCGUUUGCGGGUCUCAGAGAUAAAAACAGAUGGCCCACGGCAGAUGCUAGCCGUCCUCCAGUGCUGCUCUCCCCCUUUCUCUUAAUCUUUGGCGGUGGAACCUGUGAUUUUUUACUGGCGCACAAGAGCCUCCGAAUAAAGGCUAUGUCCAAGCCUCCCGCGCAGCUGUGGCUCAGCUAUGAGGCAGUUCUCGCCAGUCAGGUCUGUGUUGAGCUAUCGGAUGGCGGGAGGCCGUGGAGGAGGCCGUGGAGGAGGCUGAGGAGGCCGGACACAGCGCUGCCUGUGGUAGCACCCUGGGGGAGGCGGCCUUGGCGAGCCUGGUGGAGGCCAAGGGCUUUUACAGCCACAGCCUCCCAAAAGGCAGGUACGUCCUGAAUCUAGAAGAGGCAGCGGGGGCCGCGGUGGCCCCAUUUUCCAGUGUGAGGCGCGAAUCUGUGUUCCGGAGCAAAUUCCUUUUGUAUGUAAACGAGCAGAGAGAUCGUGUUUACUGCAGCUGAACGUGUUCAAUACUGAUUGAAAUUUUAUUUUUCUCAUUUUAUGGAUGAACAGACUAAGGCUUAGGGCCGGGAAUAAGCCAGCAAACCUGCUCUCUGUGGGGAAGGAAGGGCCCCGUUUGUGGCAUUUGCAGCAUCUGUGCUACCGUGGCGAGUGUGAGGCUCGAAGGGUUUAAACACUUGUAGGCAAAAGUCCUGAACGUUGAACAACUGGCUCCCAUUAGCUGCCUCCUGCUCCAAGCCGACGCUACUUGGAGAACGUAACUGUCCCCAGGAACCACAUCAGCAAGUAUUCAAUAAAAAGAUUAAAAAUAUGUGGUACUUAUUCUGCCUGAAAAAUCAUUAUGCCUUGUUGAGAGCAUUUGGGGCUGCACCUCAGUAUUGAACAGAAUUUACAGCACAUGGUAGGUUCCGCGUCUUCAGAGACUUCGCUAGGGAGCUUUGCGGCGGUAGUGGAGAAGGACAGAGUAUCUAAAAGCUUUUGGUAGAAUUUGGAUGGGCAGUCAUUGCCAUUAUUGUUACAUGCACGGGACAAAAGGGAUUUAAACAGCCUGAAACUGUCAAAGUGGCAGAUGGGACUUAAGAAGGGAGGGAAAUAAUUCAUAAAUUGGUAUGUGGAAAGUUGAUGCUCCUUAAUCAAAACUGCAGUUUGGUCUCACGUCACACCUGUCAGAAAGGCUAGACUCAGCAACACAAGAAACACAGGUGUUGGAGACGAUGUGAGAAAGGGGAGCCCUCCUGCACUGUUGGUGGGAACGCAAACGGGCACAGCCACUCUGGAGAACGGUGUGGAGGCUCCUCAAGAAGUUGCAAAUAGAGCCACUGUAGGGUACAGAAAUCACACUACUGGGUGUUUACCCAAAGGAUACAAAAACAGUAAUUCAAAGGGAUACAUGGACCCCUGUGUUCACUGCAGCAUGAUUUACAAUGGCCAAGAUACAGAAGCAGCCCAAGUGUCCAUCGAUUGAUGAAUGGAUGAAGAUGAACAUAAUGGAACACACACACACACUGGAUUAUUAUUCAGCCAUUUAAAAAAAGAAUGAAAUCUUGCCAUUUGCAAUGACACAAAUGGACCUGAAGAGUAUUAUGCUAAGUGAAAUAAGUCCAAAAGACAAACACCAUAUGAUUUUACUCAUAUGUGGAAUUUAAGAAACAAAACAAAUGAGCAAAGGGUGAAAAAAGAUGCAAAGCAAGAAAUAGACUCCUAAAUGCCCCUGCUGGUUACCAGAGUGGGGUGGGGGUGGGAUGGGAGUGAAACAGGUGGUGGGGAUGAGGAGAGAGCAGUUGCUGUGAUGAGCACCGGGUGAUGUGGGGAAGUGUAGAAUCACUGUACUGUAUGUGUGAAACUAAUAUUACACUGAAUGUUAAGUAACUGGAAUUUAAAUAAAAACUUAAAAAAAAUAAAGUUUGUGCUUCUUGACUCCUAUGGGAUUGAGUUGGUGGAUGAGGUAUUAAUACAACUGACCUACUCAAAAACUCCAGGAGACCACAUGGUGAAUGGAAAUGGGUUUUCUUCAAGCACAUUUUGACAAUCGUGUUGCUUUUUGACCUUAAGUGAGCACCAAAAAAACUGAUAAUGUACUUGUUUUUCAGGAGGUUGGUGAGGAAGUUUGGUGCUUAGCCAUGAGAUCAAGCCUCUAAAGCUGUGACUGACAACCUGGUUAAAGCCAAGGCUUUUAGGGGAAUGAUCAGGAGAACUUUAAACUAGAUGAGCAUUUCAUUUUUAAAAAAUCUGAGCAAAAAAUGGAGUCAUCUGCUAACAUAAGAGGUAAACUGCCCAAUGUGCACAAUAAUGAACAUUUCACGGAGCAUUCGAAAAUUGUCAGGUGAGAGUGGUAGGAAAGAGAAGUGGAAAGGAAAGGUGAUGGGAUAAAGAAAGAUGUGAGUGUGAAGCUGAGACCCAGCCCUUGUCCGCUCCUAAACACGGCCAGCAAGGCCUGGCCCGCUCGGGGCCCUCACAGGUGAGCAGACAAAUGAGCGCCACAGCAGGUGCUGCUCCUGGGG